UCAGGACGAACGCUGGCGGCGUGCUUAACACAUGCAAGUCGAACGCUGAAGCUUGGUGCUUGCACUGGGUGGAUGAGUGGCGAACGGGUGAGUAAUACGUGAGUAACCUGCCCUUGACUCUGGGAUAAGCCUGGGAAACUGGGUCUAAUACUGGAUACGACAUGUCACUGCAUGGUGGUGUGUGGAAAGGGUUUUACUGGUUUUGGAUGGGCUCACGGCCUAUCAGCUUGUUGGUGGGGUAAUGGCCUACCAAGGCGACGACGGGUAGCCGGCCUGAGAGGGUGACCGGCCACACUGGGACUGAGACACGGCCCAGACUCCUACGGGAGGCAGCAGUGGGGAAUAUUGCACAAUGGGCGGAAGCCUGAUGCAGCGACGCCGCGUGAGGGAUGACGGCCUUCGGGUUGUAAACCUCUUUCAGCACGGAAGAAGCGAGAGUGACGGUACGUGCAGAAGAAGCGCCGGCUAACUACGUGCCAGCAGCCGCGGUAAUACGUAGGGCGCAAGCGUUGUCCGGAAUUAUUGGGCGUAAAGAGCUCGUAGGCGGUUUGUCGCGUCUGCUGUGAAAGCCCGGGGCUUAACCCCGGGUGUGCAGUGGGUACGGGCAGACUUGAGUGCAGUAGGGGAGACUGGAAUUCCUGGUGUAGCGGUGAAAUGCGCAGAUAUCAGGAAGAACACCGAUGGCGAAGGCAGGUCUCUGGGCUG
rnacentral:rRNA from 1 species